AUUAGAUUGCAACUGGUAGAGCACGGUGUUAUCUUCAAGUGCUUUAUGAGACUGCUACACAGCUUCAGCAGGGACCCACCAGACAUGAACUCAGCCAGACGGUCUGAAAGCCACAGGCUAAAAGAGGAUGAUCAUCAAGAGAAACAAGCAAAGAGGAAAGAUCUGUGACUUCCGUCAAGGAACUCUGAGCCCACUGCAAGUUUUCACAUACCCCAGAGAAAGGGUAAGGAAUGGCCAGCGCAUGGAUUUCCAAAUAUUGGGAAGAGCAAGUCUUCUGAAGAGCCAGGUGGCACCUACCCAUCAUGCGGAGCUCAGAUUGCGCGGAUGGGCAAGAGAAUGGAAAACGUGGCCCACAGCAGCUUCGACACGUGGCACAGAGAUUGCAGCUCCGAGAAGGCCGUUUCACCUGCUCUCUCCUCCUCACUCGUUCCUGGCGGUGGCUCCACUUAAAGCUUGGACUUGUGGCUCCAAUCAAGCGAGCGCCCGAAUUCCUAGAGAAUCUGGAAGAAAGGAGAAGAGCGGCCAUUAUGAGAGAGAACACGCUCCAGGUUGGCAAGAUUCGCUUGUGCUCUGUGACCACAUUGCCUCUUCCUGGCAGAAUGGACGUGUUGGCGGUAUUCCCUAACGUUCUUGAGCUCUUGUGUUGAGUCUGGUAAGUGUGUAUAAAUGUAAGAAUGAACAUGGUACAACAAAAAACAUUUCAGUUUUAAAUUUUUUAUAGAAGGCCUGUGUUUCAGGCUGGAAAAAUGCCUCUGCAAUCCACUUAGCUGGGAGUGUGGCUGAAUUGCUUUUCCUGGUUCUUUAUUUGCUCCAUAUUCCUUGAUGUUGUAUCAAGUCUUCCAGCCUGUGUUUCAGGGAGGACCUUAUCCUCACUCUGACGCUGCAGGUCACAUAGCAAAGCCCCCUGGUAAGGCGGUGUAUCUGUCACAAUCAUACGCUUCCAGUUCACAGAAAAGAAAUCCAAUACGAAAGUGACAUGAUAAAAAAUAAGCUGCGUUAAACAAAGAUAUUUUCUGUGUAUCACACCAAAACAUGGUGUAUUUCAUAACAUGGCAGAGCACACUUCAUCAGAAUCCUAGGGAAGAAGCAAACCUGCUAAAAGAAUAACAUUUUGGUGCCAGGGAAGUUAUGCAUGUAAUAGAUCUCUGCUGUAUUUUGCAGAGAUUUGCAGCUACAUUCAUCCUUCGCUAAAAUGUAAUGGCAACAUGUUGUAGGAGCCAGUUCUCCUUAGGGCUUCAUAUUGCAACAAAGGAGCUAUAAAUGAUGUUAUUGAAGUGGUAGGUUUCAGAAGGCAACUGGGAUUUAAUUUCAAUUGAGAGGUGCUUUUGAUUAAUCAGCCUCCUUAAAAGCAGAGCUGUCCAGGAAAAAAUAACCUGCACAGGUUGCUUUUUAGACCCUUGAAGGGGAGGACGUGUGUGCUGUUGCCUGGUUGCGAGAGGUCCCACUCUUUAUCCAGAUCCUCUCUGGCUAGAGCAGGAACUCGAGGAGAGUUCAUUUUCCUGUGUGCAGGCUCCCUGCCCAUUGCAGCGUGUCUGGCAGCUGCCGACGCGACGCGUGCCUCGCUGAGAGGCAGGGCAGAUGGAUGGGGUGGGGAUUGCUGGGCUUUGCUCAGCCUGUCCUCCACUGGCAAUUCUUGCCCGAGAGAAACCUCAGCAUAUUUUUUUUUUUUUUUUUUUUUAAAUUGGGACCCUUUUCUUGAGCGAAAGAAAUGAGCAUGGUGUUUCAUGAUAGGAGUACAAGAGUAUUUGCCUAGAGGGUUUGGAAAAUAAAAUGUACAGUGUGUCAAAGAGUGGACA
rnacentral:lncRNA from 1 species